UCAUGGCUCAGGAUGAACGCUGGCGGCGUGCUUAACACAUGCAAGUCGAACGAUGAACUCCAGCUUGCUGGGGGGAUUAGUGGCGAACGGGUGAGUAACACGUGAGCAACCUGCCCUGGACUCUGGGAUAAGCGCUGGAAACGGCGUCUAAUACUGGAUAUGAGCUCUUACCGCAUGGUGGGGGUUGGAAAGAUUUUUUGGUCUGGGAUGGGCUCGCGGCCUAUCAGCUUGUUGGUGAGGUAAUGGCUCACCAAGGCGUCGACGGGUAGCCGGCCUGAGAGGGUGACCGGCCACACUGGGACUGAGACACGGCCCAGACUCCUACGGGAGGCAGCAGUGGGGAAUAUUGCACAAUGGGCGGAAGCCUGAUGCAGCAACGCCGCGUGAGGGAUGACGGCCUUUGGGUUGUAAACCUCUUUUAUCAAGGAAGAAGCGAAAGUGACGGUACUUGCAGAAAAAGCGCCGGCUAACUACGUGCCAGCAGCCGCGGUAAUACGUAGGGCGCAAGCGUUAUCCGGAAUUAUUGGGCGUAAAGAGCUCGUAGGCGGUUUGUCGCGUCUGCUGUGAAAUCCCGAGGCUCAACCUCGGGCCUGCAGUGGGUACGGGCAGACUAGAGUGCGGUAGGGGAGAUUGGAAUUCCUGGUGUAGCGGUGGAAUGCGCAGAUAUCAGGAGGAACACCGAUGGCGAAGGCAGAUCUCUGGGCCGUAACUGACGCUGAGGAGCGAAAGGGUGGGGAGCAAACAGGCUUAGAUACCCUGGUAGUCCACCCCGUAAACGUUGGGAACUAGUUGUG
rnacentral:rRNA from 1 species